GAUGAACGCUAGCUACAGGCUUAACACAUGCAAGUCGCGGGGCAGCAUGGGGGUUGCUUGCCAUCCCCGAUGGCGACCGGCGCACGGGUGAGUAACGCGUAUCCAACCUGCCCUUCACCACGGGAUAACCCGGCGAAAGUCGGACUAAUACCGUAUGUUGUCCAUUGACGGCAUCCGAUUUGGACGAAAGGCUUGGCGGUGAGGGAUGGGGAUGCGGCCGAUUAGCCAGACGGCGGGGUAACGGCCCACCGUGGCUACGAUCGGUAGGGGUUCUGAGAGGAAGGUCCCCCACACUGGAACUGAGACACGGUCCAGACUCCUACGGGAGGCAGCAGUGAGGAAUAUUGGUCAAUGGGCGUAAGCCUGAACCAGCCAAGUAGCGUGCAGGAUGACGGCCCUAUGGGUUGUAAACUGCUUUUAUGCGGGGAUAAAGUGGCCCACGUGUGGGCUUUUGCAGGUACCGCAUGAAUAAGGACCGGCUAAUUCCGUG
rnacentral:rRNA from 1 species